AAAACACAAGCAACUAAAUAUUCAUUAAUAAAACUUCAUUAGUCUUAAACAAAAACCAGCAAAAAUGGUAACAGGGUAUCACAAUAUCACUAAAUAAAUCAAAACACUAUCAAAGAUAGUCAACAUAACAUAUAGAGCUCAAAGUCGAAAACUAAGAUGCAAAUUACAAAAAAGCCCCAUUAGAGAUCAACACUUUACUCUUCAGCAGAAGCGACUUCCCCAUUUUUCUUGUUGUGCUUCCUUGCAUACCUCUGGUUCCUCAAAAACUUUGGAUCCAUCUAAAGAUAUCAACAAAAAUAAAUCAAAUCAUUAAUAAAUAGAAAUCAUUGGGCAUCAAUGGAAAACAAUAAUUUCAAAAUCAAUAAAAGAAUUGAAAACUGAGAAUACAUACCCCCUUGGUGGAAGUGUGGCGAUGCCUCUUUGGCUUUUUGAUGCCAUUCUUGUGAGCCUUGUAAGACUGGUUGUGAGCAGUGUGAUUCUUCGACUUCGCCAUUUCUGAAAUUCAAUACAUGCAGAGUUAAUUAAAGAUACAAGGGAAAACGAAUUGAAAAAUGAAGAAAUUGAAGAAGGCGAAACCUAAUUCUGAAGAUGCGGUUGAACUAGGGUUUUUCUGGG
rnacentral:lncRNA from 1 species